AAUUUUAUAGUCUAAAUUAGGAUACUGAAUUGCAAAUUCAGGGGUAAAAGGGUUUUUUAAAGUUU
rnacentral:tRNA from 1 species